GUGUGUGGCGGGGUGGGGGCAGGCAGUUUGCUGAGCCAGCUCAAGUGUGCAUGGUGAGCAGUGCAGGGAGGGCAUGGGUGCUGAAGGAAAAUGUCCCUCCCAGGACAUGCGCAGGUUCGGUCCACACCGGCUCUGUAUACUUUGCUAAUGCUUAUUCCAUUGUGGUUCCACACAAAUUAUUUUCUCCUAACAACAAUAUGGAGACGAGAAGGCAGGGCUAUCUGAGGCCCUGGCCACUUUCUGGUUGAGGUCCUUGCUUCACAGAGGCAUGAAAAGAAUGUGUUUGUGAGGGAAGGGGAGACAUUCCGGGUCAGUCCUGCAGCUCAGAGCAUCACGGGGCUGGAGCUUUGCUGAGUCACGGUGCCUAGGCAAAGGGAAAUAGCAGCUGUGGCGCUGCAUGUCUGGGAGGAGAGGCUGGUGUGAAGAAGACAGGGUGUCAAGUCACACCCAGAAAUUACUGAUACAGUCCUCUUAGCCCGCUUGCACUAGGGAUCCCUGUCUGCAACUUCCUGGCUGAAAUGACAGGUGCUGACUGGAUUGGACGUCUGAUGCCGUGGUUAGUGUCUUUCAUGCUCACGGGUAACAGACUCUGAACCCGCUCCUUCCUGCUGAGCAGUUCUGAUGCUGGGCAGUCUGGUGGGAAGGAACACAAAGCAGAUGCUUAGCCAAUCAGGACGCUGCACUCAUUUGCCCACAGUAAGGAGUGGGCUGGAGAUGGCACAGUCAUGGAGGCUCCAACAGCCUCUCGAUGGUACCCUUCACCUGUCAGGUGAACGACCACCACCGUUUUGAGCCAUGACUGCUCUCUGGGAGAAGGAUGAGCUCACUAGUGACAAGAGUGGCCUUCUUUCCUUCCUUUUCCCCAAAUACUGAGAGAAGUGGGAGGCCAGCCUGCAAAUGUCACAGAAGCCUAUAAAAUGCUGAGCUCAGACGGAUGCCAGGCAUAGCUGGGGUUGCUGGGCUGAUGAGAUGGGCGACUCCAUCAUCUGCUAAGAAUCCAUUGUUCUGCAGCGGCUUGGACACAAUGGUGAGGCUGAGGCAGGGGAGACAGAGGGGGGCAGGGUGGGUACAGUGACUAGGCGUUUCUCUUCGAACCCCGGCUUUUCGUGGGGGUGUGUGUGUGUAGAGGGGCAGGGCAGGGUUAGUCAACAGGCAGUCAGUCCAUGGGUGGGAUGAGAACACCCCAAACCAGGGCCACAAAUUCCCCACCUUACAAAGCAGAGCAAAACAAAACAAAACAAAACAACCAACACCCAAACAAAGAAAGGGAGGCGGGAGGCAUCUCUUUGGAAAGAUUUUGAAGUUCUUUGCUUAAAAGGAAACUUCGAAGUCUCUAAGGGCAAAUCUAGAAUUUUCCUCAGUGUUUCAUGUUUGGAGUUCCAGAUGGUAGGUGGGCUUCAUGAACUCCACAGGGCGAAGGCACGUUGUGGAUUAUGAGUGUGUGCAGUCAAGGAAGACCUUGAAAUUCUGCUGGGAUUACAGUGGUGCACCUCCAUGUCCGGUUCAUGCUGCACUGGGGAUGGAGCCCAGGACUUUGUACAUGCUAGACAAGUGCUCCACCAACGGUCACAUCCCCAGCCCUGGGCUAGGACUGCUACUGGGUUUACUGGUGCUGGGAUUCCCUUGUGGGCAGGAGAUGGUUUGACAAGCAGGCUGUGAGUGGCCCUAACAGACAUACCCCCUCCCCCCCGGAUGGGUAGAGAUUUUAUCUUUAAUUUUAAUCAUUUUUAUGAUUUAUUUUACCUAUAUGACUGUUUAGACUGCAUACAUGUAUUUAUACCACAUGCGUGCCCAGUGCUGGAUAAAAUCAAAAGGUCAAAAGGUCAAAAUGAGGCCUUGGAUUCCUUAGAAUUGGAGUUACAGAUGGUUGUGAGGAACCAUGUGGGUCCUGGGAAUGGAGCACAGGUCCUCCACACGAACCCUUAAGUGCUCAGCCCUCUCCAGCCCUGGAACACACGUUUGAUCCUCUCCAAAGGGCUGGCACUUCAGGCAGGAUUGGAUGCUGCUUUGUUCUUUUUUACUUCGGUGUGCUUUUUUUUUCCCAGAAGUUUUGCAUAUACAUUUAUCAAUGUUAAAUUAUAUAAUAUGUGGUUAUAUUCUUCUUAUGCAAGGAACCGAGGAGAUGGCUGUGAGUGAAGAGCUUACCACACAAGCAUGAGGCUCUGAGCUGGACUCCUAGAGCCCAUAUUAAAAAGCUGGAGGGUGUUUCAUGUUUGUAAGCCUUGUGCCAGGGAGGUGGGAACAGGCAGGUACCUGGAACUCACUGGCUGACCAGGCAGCCUAGUCUGGUCAUAGUGUCCCAGAGAUCUCAAACCUUCUAUCUCCCUUCCCCCCAAAAUAGAGGUGCUGGAGAGACGACUUAGGGUGAAGCACGCUGGCUGCUCUUGCAGAGGACACACGUUUGGCUCCCUGCAACUGCAGGGUGGCUCACAACCAUCUUGUUUGCUUGGCUUGCCAUAUUCCAAUUUGCUUGUUUUUUAUUGCUCUUAUAUUAUUACUAUAAUUAUUCCUUAGAUGUGUGUAUGGAUGUGUACCACAUGCGUGUAUGGAUGUGCACCACAUGCGUGUAUGGAUGUGCACCACACGCAUGCCUGAUGCCACAGAGGUCAGAAGAUGGUGCUGGAUCCCUUACAGUCUCAUUGAUUUUCUCAAAGAACCAACUUUUCGUUACAUGGAUUCUUUGACUUCUUGUUUGUUUGUUUCCAUUUUAUUAAUUUCAGUCCCGAGUUUGGUUAUCUCUUGCCAUAUAUGAUUGUUGGGUGUUAUUUCUUCUUUCUAUUCUAGAACUUUCCUGUGUGUUGUUGCUAAUAUGAGACACAGGGGUGGGUAAUGAGGGAGGCUGUGGAGAUCUGUGUGAUCUGCUAGAGAUGGGGCCAGAGAGGAAGGGGAAGCCUCAUCAGGUGGCCGGCUUCAGAGCUGGGAAGGAGUCUGGGGGAUUGAUCUGGAGGAGAGGAAAGAGAGAGGGGAAGAUCUGCAGUUAGCCUAUCCGCUUCAGCCCUUGUGGCUGAUGGGUUCCCAGGGAAUGCCUGUGGGGGCUAAUGACUGGGACAAAGGGAUGUGUGGAGAGGAAGCUCUGGGAGAUCCACACAGUACUGGAAAUGGGGACAGAGAGGGCAAAAUAAGUAAUCUUAAAGAAAACAAAACAUGGCAGAAGGCUUCUAGGAAACAACACACAAGGCGGACCUCUGACCUCCAUACGCACAUGGGUGCACAGGCAUCCACACAGACAGAGACACCCGUGGACGUUGACAGAUCAUUUUUUUUUCUAAUUUAUGGUAAGAGUAAACAGCCACUCUCCUGUCACAUUUUUGUGCGCCUUUUCUGUGCACUAACAUAUAUCCCUAGAGAACAUGUUUCGGUUCUGGAGAGACAGCUCCAUGGUUAGGAGAAUUUAUCAGUUUUGCAGAGGACCUGGGUUCAGUUCCCAGCACCCACAUGGUAGCUCACAACUGUCUGUGAUGUCAG
rnacentral:sRNA from 1 species